ensembl:lncRNA
GCAAGCUCCACUGCCAUAUGGCGGUAAAGGUCACCUGCACCAGCACCGCUAAGCUCUUCCCUGCAGGUUCAGGUGCUGGGGACCAAAGUAUAACCAAGAUUGGAUCCCUGUGCUCAGGGAGACACAAACAGAAGAUGGCAGGACCCCCGAGGCCUCCUGGAACACAAAGUACCCCACCUGCAGAGGUGUGAGGAAAGACGUCCAACUGAGCUGAGAGCUGCAGAGUGGGGGAUCAAACUCGGGUCUUUGUGCUUGCGUAGCAGGUGGCGAAACCACUGAGCUAAAUCCCCGGCCCAGCCUGAUGCUUUUUAAAAAAUUUUAUUUUAGAAAUGAGAAUCAGAGCAUGGAAUCGUUAUGUGCAUGUUUUUCUGCUUACAGCUUUCCAUGGCUUUCCAUUGUCCUGACGAAUAAACCCACGUAAGACCCUACGUGAAAUCACCUGUUUCCCUUCCACCCCCACAC